rnacentral:rRNA from 1 species
UACGUAGGGGGCAAGCGUUGUCCGGAAUCAUUGGGCGUAAAGAGCGCGUAGGCGGCCCAGUAAGUCCGCUCUGAAAGUCAGGGGCUCAACCCCUGAAUGCGGGUGGAUACUGCUGGGCUAGAGUCCGGAAGAGGCGAGUGGAAUUCCUGGUGUAGAGGUGAAAUUCGUAGAUAUUCGCAAGAACACCGGUGGCGAAGGCGGCCAACUGGACCAUUACUGACGCUGAGGCGCGAAAGCGUGGGGAGCAAACAGG